CACUGGGAAGCCUUCUUCAUAUUAAUGGCUAUCCCAUUCAGAGGUAGCUCCAAAAUAAGGACGACAUCCUUAGCACGAAAGAUCAACAUCUGCCCUCCCAAAUAAAAUUCUCCCUACUCUCAUCCCAGCAAUGGAGGAGUUGGUCUACAACUGCUCGCUCCUAUAUAAUGACUGGGAUGUCGAGUAUAUAUAGUUGAAGGGUGUUGCUGUAUCAACAUCCUAUGGGCAUCCAUCAAUCACUCUCCGAUGCCUUUGAUGAAGUUCACAUAUCUCCUUAGAUAGUAUUGAUAGUUAAUCAAUCAGGAAAGAGCUCUCUUUUGUUUUCUCAAAACUCUAGAGCUCUUCUUCCGGCUCCUAG
rnacentral:lncRNA from 1 species